rnacentral:misc_RNA from 1 species
GAUGAAGAACGUAGCGAAAUGCGAUAAGUAAUGUGAAUUGCAGAAUUCCGUGAAUCAUCGAAUCUUUGAACGCAUAUUGCGCCCUCUGGUAUUCCGGGGGGCAUGCCUGUCCGAGCGUCAUUGCUGCCCUCAAGCACGGCUUGUGUGUUGGGCCCCGUCCUCCGAUCCCGGGGGACGGGCCCGAAAGGCAGCGGCGGCACCGCGUCCGGUCCUCGAGCGUAUGGGGCUUUGUCACCCGCUCUGUAGGCCCGGCCGGCGCUUGCCGAUCAACCCAAAUUUUUAUCCAGGUUGACCUCGGAUCAGGUAGGGAUACCCGCUGAACUUAAGCAUAUCAAUAAGCGGAGGA